GACAGGAGGUGACCCGGCAGCGUCUCCGGGUCGAGGUGGCUGAGGCGGCACUGGGGGAACUGGGACUGGCACUGGGCAGGUCGGUGUCCCCUCUUUGUCACCUCCAGGGUUGUCCCCAACCCCCACCCGAGGCCACCCCAGGAGGGGACACGAAGAUACCACCCCCUGGCAGAGUGGGCGUGGCCUCGCUGCUGUCCCACCUCCAGGCUGUCGGCUCUGCCCUCCUUGGGGACACGCCCCCAGUUGGUUCCAGUUUGGCCCAGUUUGUCCCCAUGAUGUCAUCAGGGACUCAGUGAUGGCAUCAAGGACUCAGUGACGGCAUCAAGGACUCAGUGAUGUCAUCGGGCACCCAGUGACAUCAUUCAGGAGGGAGUGAUGAUGUCAUUGUGGACCGGUGAUGUCAUUAUGGGGAACUGGUGGUCACUGGGGACACACACACCAGUGACAUCAUCGGGGAGAGCGGUGAUGUCACCGUGGUCUGUGACAUCACUGGGGUCAGCGGUGAUGUCAUUGAGGGAAAAUGGUGAUGUCAUUGUGGCCCGGUGACAUCAUCGGAGGAACUGGUGAUGUCGUUGUGGGUCUGUGACGUCAUCUGGGACAGCGGUGAUGUCUCCGUGGGUCUGUGACGUAACUGGGGUCAGCAGAGAUGUCCUCGAGGGGGAAAGGUGACAUCACUGGGGUCAGGAGUGACGUCAUCGACGUGUGGUGACGUCACAGCAGACGGUGGUGACGUCAUCGAAGGGGAACCGGUGAUGUCACUGGAGGGCCUCAGGUGACGUCAUUGGGAAAUGAAUAAAAAAUGGGAAAUUGACAUCAAUGGGAAAUGAAUUAAAAAAACCAAAACAAAGAAACAAAAAAUCCAACAACAACAACAACAAC